AAGUCCCUCUUUUUUUCCCUUGGCCUCACCCCUCUUGCCCCCCUCCCCGCUCCGGCUGCGCUCCGCUGGGCGCUGAGUUGACUUCCAAAUUUGCUCCGGUGCCUUAAGGAAGCGUCGACCUGCUUUGUUCCCGACCAGCGCUCCUGGACGCGACCUUGGCCUAACUGGGGGUCAGGGCCGGUUGCCCUGGCCUGUAUCUUGGUGAGACUCUUGUGCGCUGAACAGCUGAGCAGUAGGUGAAGUUUAGUCCAACUCUGGCUGGAGAGAAAGAGUCACCUGGGUACUUCUGCUUAUUUCAUAGCUAGGAAAGAUACAGAAGCCUGAUUUGGAAAAGCAAGUUGGCAACCCUUUCUUCCAAUCCUAACUUUGUUUAAACUCCCCUAACUCCUAUGCCCUGCCCUGUAUGCCCUAGCUCUUUGCUAGGCUACCUAUGAAGCCUUUCUGUUUUUAGAAAACUCCCAACUUAGCUUUGGUUUUUCAGUAAUUGCGUCUUUCCCAGCCAGGUGCUUUCCAAAGGGGAGGGGAACUACAAUUUCCAUCUUCCCAAACCCGCAUGGCACAUUUGCUGAGGAUGACAGGCUACCAAGUUGAAAAGGGUUGAUCCAGAGAGAGAAUGUUACAUCCUCCAAGUUCCCUUUGAUUCAGUCAGUACCUUCAAAGCUGCCUUCAUCCUGGCUGCUAAUGGUUCUUCCACAGUUGAUGCUCUUGUAUUAGUGAAAGGUAACAACAGCUCUACUAGCAGAGAGAACCAGAGAAAAUUCUGAAACCUCCUGCUUUGAGGCUGCUUCUGAGCUGGGUUACAAUUUUCAUGUAAGCAGGAGCUUAAACCUGUCAGCUAAUUCCUUCCAGUUGUCUCCCAUCCAGCAGAACAGCAGCGAGUGAUGCCAUUACCCCCACCAAGAGGCAGUCACAUGCAGAGAGGAAAAAGAGUGUGCUGUCACUACAGAGUUGAGGCUCUAGGGACUGUCCUUUAUUUCAGCUGCUGCUGCUGCUCCACCUCCCCCUUCAUUUGUGACAGAAGAACAACUAGCAAGAAUCCCACCCACCACCUGUCAUUUUUCUAUUUACCAAACAUGAAGUGAGGGAAACAUCCUAUCUAGUGAUUGUCAUUUUCUGAGCAGAAGCCCUUCAUCUACUAAGAAGGAGGAGUUUAUCUUUCCAUCAUUGGAACAAAUACAAGCCUACUUCUGCAUGUAUUCCUGUCUUUCAAACAAUAAAGGGAGGAUAAAACACUGUCAUUUGUUUAGCACACUUGCAUCCCAUGCUUUCUCUAAAGAUUGCUGGAAAACCUCUUAGGAAUAUGUCUGGGAGAAAAGAUUAGGCAAUAAUUUGAACUAAACAGACUUUCAAACUUAUUUUACCCAGGUCCAAGAAACUAUCUGGUCUAGCCCACACUCGGUGCUUGCAUUCCAAGAUGUCAGGUAGUGGCAAUCUAGCUGUGCUAGUUAUUUGUGAGAAGUAUUUUAAGAGAAAGUGGAAAAAAACAGGAUAUGCUUCAUCCAGCCCCACCUGACAUUUCACACUUCAAAUUGUUUCUGCAAAUAUUAGAUUAAAAAUGUGGUUUUCUUUUUAGAAUACCAAAAUAUUUUUAUAGACUUAAACAUCUGGAGAAAUUGCGUACAUUUUGGUGGGAAGUUUGUAACUGCAAACACAUUUAAUGCUUGCAAUGCUUUUUAGUGCCUUGUAUUUUGUUUUGAAUGUGUAUUGUAAUAUUUUAGAGUACUUUUAUUUUCUUUUUGCCAUGAGGCAGAAAGGAUAUCAGCAUACAAAGUAUCGGCACUACAUAGUUGAACCCAAAAACUAAAUUCCCCUCCCCUGGAUACAAAGUAACAAAGUACAAUUCCCACCCCCAAUAAACAGUCAUAAAUCACAUUUCCCAAUUAGCUUCAAGUGUGGGCUUUCUCCCCAACUCUCCAGCCUGCUCUCCUCCAGCUCUAUUUUAAUUACAAUUACGGGAACAACUGAACUGUGAUAUUAAAAAGUAAUAGCAAGAGUAAAUUACAACUUUUCAGAGUUAUGUGGUUUUUUUGCUUCCCAUUUCUCAAUUUGUAGCCUUUUCUAGACAACAUAACAGAUGGCUAUAUAUAUAUUAUGCAAAAGCUUGAGAAGUACAUAAAGAUACAUCUCUUUUGCACAAUUUAUUCCAAGGAUCUUCAUAGAAUCACAAAGCUGGAUCAUAGUUUAGGGUUAUCUAUUCUAAUCACCUGUUCUAUGCAUGAUCCACUAAAGCAUCUAUGACCGAGGACUUUCCCUCCACUUCCAUCUGAAGAACUCUUGGGCAUGAUUAGGCAGAAACAUCCAGUCCAUAUAUAGCAUCUCUUAUCCUUCUCCUCAUCUUGUAUAGGCUUCUGUGAAAGCAAGUCAUGUUUUCUUUCAAAUAUGAAAUUUAGAGUAGACUAAGUAUCUUUUCCUGUUCUAUCAAGGCAGCUUUGCACCAAAUGCUGGAUCAAAAAUAUUGGUUGGGUUAGAUCCCAGUAUUUAUAGUUGUGCUAAUCAUGCCACUUAGGAAACUAGCUAUCUAACUGAUAGAUAGUGCUCUCUAUCAAAAGAUUAUUGCCUUCUGUAUAUCAUCAUUUAGGAUCUAAUUUGAAACAGUUCUGAUAUCAGGCAAAUGACUUUAUACCAGACUGCAUAAAAUGUAAACACUUUUCCAUUCCACAAGGUCAUGGGUGGUUGAUUUCUCUUGAUCAUUAUCUGUAGUAUUUAAUCACCAAUGGAUUACUUCAGACAUCUUUAGGUGACUUACAGAAUGAAAAUACACCAAAUUAGUGUCAGAACAGUUUGAAGUCAUCACUUUUCAACUCUGAGAAUUGCUCUGCCCCUCCCCCAUGCCUAUGCAAAAUAAUUUGCAUUCCCUAAAUACCAAAUGACAGAUGAUAAAAAGGAUAGUCUAGUAUGCAUGUCUAAAUUUCAGGUUUAUAAAUUGCUGUCAGUUUACUUCUGUUAAGCAAUUCUCCGGUAGAAUUGACAUGACUUAUGGCUAACAGAUGAGUAAUGUUUCCCCAAAUGAGAGGAUAUGGCCACACAGCUUAGGAUAUAUUGUGUUAUAUUGUACUUAGAAUAUGUUGUCAUCAGCUUAGCUGAAUUUAGGAAAUUUCAUAAUCCUUAUUAUUUUUCCAUUGCCCCAUUCAUCUCCAGUUCUCAUAAUAUAGAGUGAACAGUCUGGUGAUUUUGAAUGGCAACCCCUUGAAGCCCCAAUCAGCAUGAACUACCUCCAAAAGAGCACAUCAAGUAUAGUACCUAAAACUGGGUUUAAAUCCUUUGGGGUUCGGAUAAAAGAAAAGCUACCAGAAGACAACUGAACUUAUUCUCCCAUUCUUUCAAAAGAACUAGAAAUGUGGUUAUCCUAAACACUUUCACAUUUCUCCCAGUACUUUUUCUUCAGGAAAGAGCCAAUCAUCAAAGUCAUAGCUAUAAAGAGGUUUGUACAGAAACUUAAGUGAAAUGGAGAAAGUAAUAUAAGAAGCCUGCACUACUCUUAAAUGAUACAGUGUGAGUGGGACAGUCACUAUGUAAUUAUUCUGAAAUAAACACCACUUCAAAACAAAAUAACUCUUUUGAAAGGCACAGCAAAUUAAACUGUUCUGAAUCUUAGACCCUUCAGAAAUUGUUUCACCAGACUUUCUGGAGCAAGUAUGACUUGGGCUUUUUUUUUUGAGAAAAAGGGAUGUAUUUUUUUAGCUUGAUAAAAAUAAAAAGGAUUCAAAUUUAUAAGAUAUUUUUUCCACAUUUCCACAAAAGUAAUCAACUAAUUCAAUCACAAAACCCAAUGCAUGUUAACAAUACUUUAUUUUUCCCUGUCACCUCUUCUGGCAAAUGUAGGAUGGAGGAAAUCAAGCCAAUAAGCCAGCAUUACACUUGGAUACGGCCUACUCAAAAUGGUAAACAGAGUAACCUCCACAUAAAAUUCAGCAGUUUUUCAUCAUACUUAGAAUUCUGAUUCUAUUCUUCUCAUUAUUCACAUGUACACUAAGAAAAGGGCUUCAUAUCUUUUUAAACAAGGUUAGGUUAGGGAGUCAUAAAUAUAGUCAUUAUUUCUACUUUACAGUAACUAGUCUGAUUUCAGUUCAAAACACAAGAUAUAGACAGUUUAUGGGGAUCACAAAAAGCUUCUAGUUUCUUCUGCAAAAAAUAUAAGUGCAUUUACCAAUUUCCAGAUAUUUUUCAGUAGCAAUAUAAGAAUUUCAGGAGAAAAGUAGACUGAUUUUUGAAGGAUUAUUUUUAGAAUUAAACCUUAAAUUUAACUUUAUACUAGCAAUGCUUGCUUUAUCAUAUGCAUUGAUAAGUUAGAUAGCAUCAUCCAAAUGAGUUGGACUAUCAUUCCAUGUUGUAGUCCAUUCUAACAUAAUUUGAAGGUGCUAUGUUAAGAAAUACAACUCUAACAAGUACUUUUGGGAUUGCUAAUUUUGGAGUUUCAAGUAGCGAGUUCUGUUUAUUUUCCCAUAAUUUUCUGAACUAUGAAAAAUUGUCAGUUAAUUUAUUUAAGCAUCUUGAUUAUUGGAGUUGUGUUUUUCACAUAUAAAUGAGCCACCACAAAUAAACUGAGAAGCAUGGAACUUCCAUAUCUCCUGUUGUCAAUUCAAACCCAGUUCUGAAUAGGGAUACUGUAGAUGCAGUUGCAAAUCAUUACUAGACAAUGAGAAGCGAAAUGAAUCUGAUGCAUCAGUACGGUACUUUUAAAAGGGAGAAGAAGGAGGAGGGAAAAAUAUAUCACUUCAAUUAUUCUUUCUGUCUGAAAUUUGGCUAGGACCCAGUUCCAUCCCAUGCUUAAUUUAUUACUCAAUUCAGCUUCAUUGUUACAUUAGAAGAAUAUUUGGCAUUUCAUAUAUUACUUCCAGGUAUCCAGAGAAGUCUAUUCAAAUUGAAAUAAACACUAGCAUGGUAUGAUAUUAUUAUACUCUUCUGUAUUAUAUCAUUCAAUUGUAUAUAUUAAAUAUUUAUUUAAUUUAUUUAUAUGUUCCCCUCCCCCAUCUUACUAUUCAAAGCGAUUCUGGGCAGUAAAAGUAUACAGUACAGAAGAUAUAACAGAAAAAUAUAUGUACUGUACAUAGAGAAAGUAAACCUGCUUUACCUAUGUAUUCUGAGUGUUCUGCCCUGGAGCCUAACGUAUGAGGUUUCAUUCAAACAAUGAUUACUUGUGGUCAAAAUGACACAUAAAUGUGUAGUCAAUAAGAUAGACCUACAAUGUCUAUAAAUGUUUGGGUCCUUCUUUAGGUUCCAGUGGAAGAAAAACAUCGUGACUUCAAAAUCUAAGGGAUUGGUUUGGACAAAACUCAGCAGCACUUUUUUGCGCUGAUAAAAACAGGAUCGCCAACAUGAUCGCCAACGUCCAAUAACAUAUAUGGCACAAGAAGAAGAAGAAGGAUGAAGACGAGAUCCAAAGUUGUGACCCAGACGUAUAGCAUUAGCUAUCAAACAUUAGAAAAAUCUGACAGACAGACAAGUAUUCAAGGCUCAAGGAUAAUUGGUCACAUGGCCUCACAAAUAAUAAAAAUAGCAUUGCUCUCAGAAAGCUUUCUACUAAAGGCUGCUGCUAUCCAGCCAUUACUCUUUGAUCUAGACGGCAAGGCCAUCUAGGAAUAUUGAGCUUUUCUUGAAUAGACGUUUGUUCCCAAAGAGCUCAUCCCUGUAGUGUCUCUCCCCUGCAAAAAAGCAUUCAGCAUCUCUCUGCCUACCUAUAUUUACUGUAUAAUCCUUUAUAUCCUGAUGUGAAAGCAUAUUGUUUAGGCUAUAUCAGAGUCAGAGUAGAAAAUUCUUAGUUACAGGAAACUGAUCUUGGCCUAGAUCCUGCUACACAGGAUUUAGUAGGAUUAUAUGGCCCUUCUUCUUCUGAGCAGCAUCUUCCUCAAAUCAGGUAGGAACAAUUUGAUGUGUUUUAUCAUGGUUAAAAUACUGAAGCAUCCUGCACAUGUGGCUAUCUUGAAAGGUGUCCAGAGAUGUCAACUGGUAUAAAAUACAAUAGUUGAGUUCUUCUAGUAACAAUAGAAAAACCUGAAAUAGUUAUCUAUUGCUUUGGAGGGGCGGGGAUCAGGGUAUUGCUUCAACUGUUAAAGUCCCAAAUGGUUUAGCAUUUAACUAUUUGCCUUUGCAUGAAUCAUUCCAGUCACUAAGUAUAAUAAAUUGAUAUUUUUAGUUGCUAUUCAAGUUUUUAAAUUCUUGGAUAAUCAAAAGUUUUAUGCAGCUGACAAUGCAUGGAGAGAGACACACUAAAAUUAGGAGUGCAACUUUUGUAAGAAGAUUGGUGCUUAUAUGAAAGGAAACAAUGAUAAGCUUUAUUUAGGAGAAAACAUGGUAAUAGAAAAUGGUAAUUCUGCCUAGCUAAGAGCCUAUAAUGCAUUCUGUCCUUUUAUGGAGAGAGUGCAAGUCUGGACUGCAUAGGUCAGUGUCUGAAGAGAAAGAAAAAUGAACUGACAGAAUAUCUGUCUAAUCAAUAGGACACAUGUUGCGAAGGAAAAUGUAAAAUAAGUUUCCUAGACAAGGAAACUAAAUAAAAUGCAGAGUCCAUCUGUUAACAUUCUCUAUAUCUGCUGGACCUUAUGGUCAAUAGCUUUAUAGGUGCAAAAAGGCAGUAUAUGCCAUUGAAUUCCACUGCAAAUCCCCUGACAAAUGGUGGGAAAGUAGGAUGAAAAUUGAAAUUGGGAAUACAAUACAUUCAGAAUGCAUUAGAAUUAAAUAUUCUUAUAAAGAAAACUUCACUUUAUAUUUAUCAGGAGGUGAUUUGCCCUGAACUGAGAACAUGUAAGAGUUGAAGUGCAUCAAGCUGAAAAAGUUCCUUGUGAUAGGAGGUCUAGCUUCACUUUGUGUUUCCUUCCCAUCAGAAGCCAAGCUUAAGAAGAAUGAAGUCUAAACUCUAAGUCACAUGGAUCAUAUUUCAGUAUUUCAGAGUAAAAAUUCCUUAAACCAAGCAGCCUAUUUACAUUUGACUGGAGGAAUAUAAAAACACCUUGUACCAUACGUGCAUUCAUAGGGAUACCACCAAUCAGAAAAGACAGAGAAACAUAUUUGUGAUCAAUCAUUAUUGAAAAAUGAAAAUAGAUAUUUGGAAUUGAUGAAGAAUUGAGAAACAUUGUCCUGUCAUUUCUCAGAUGACCUUUGCUGCCCAGUUUGAUGCUUCAUUUUCCUGCAUUUCUUUAAUCUGGAGAUGAUAAAUAUUUUUCUCCUUCCUGAAGGUGGUUAACUGUUAUAAAUUUUAAAAGGGUGAAUUAAAAAAAGAGCUGCAUUGUAGACCAUCCCAGUACUUUCUUUUGUUCUUAAAUAAAUAGAAGAUGGAAAUAA